GUUUGAUUAGUUUACUUUAAAAAUUUUAAAUUGUGGAUUUAAAGAUAUAUUUAUAUAUCAAACC
rnacentral:tRNA from 1 species